CUACGGGUGGCUGCAGUGGGGAAUAUUGGACAAUGGAGGAAACUCUGAUCCAGCCAUGCCGCGUGAAUGAUGAAGGCCCUCGGGUUGUAAAGUUCUUUUGGUGGGGAAGAUGAUGACUGUACCCACAGAAUAAGCUCCGGCUAACUUCGUGCCAGCAGCCGCGGUAAUACGAAGGGAGCUAGCGUUGUUCGGAAUUACUGGGCGUAAAGGGUGCGUAGGCGGUUUAGUUAGUCAGAUGUGAAAGCCCCGGGCUCAACCUGGGAACUGCGUUUGAUACUGCUAGACUUGAAUUCGGUAGAGGUGAGUGGAAUUCCCAGUGUAGAGGUGAAAUUCGUAGAUAUUGGGAAGAACACCGGUGGCGAAGGCGGCUCACUGGACCGACAUUGACGCUGAGGCACGAAAGCGUGGGGAGCAAACAGGAUUAGAUACCCGGGUAGUC
rnacentral:rRNA from 1 species